UCUGUCUGUAGAGAGAAAGAAACGGAGCAACUCAGAAUCACCCAGACAUUGUAGAGAGAGAGAAAACCCUGUAGAGAGAUUGCGGUAUUUGGGUUCGAAGAGCUAGCGAUGACUCACCCAGACGGAGAGGCGCAAUAGUUGUCUCAAGUGUUUCUAUCAUCAUUGUUGUUGAGCUUGGGAGGCGUUAUUUUCUAUAACUCUCAAUAACAACAAGAGAGGCCUCCGGAGUUGUUGUUCCCUGCAAAAGCCAGAGGGAGCCAGCUCGUGCAAAGGGUGGGUGGAUGCACUUGUGUACGGGUGUGUAUUUGGUGCGCACGUGCGUUCAUGAUAUAGGUUAAAGUUGUACAAGUUCUAUAAUCGUGCCAAGAUUAUCCUUGCAACAAGGAAGAUAUUGCGAUUGUUAAUGGAAUGCUUAAUGAUUACUUGAGUUAUCGUGCCUAACAUUCUAAUCGCUUCAAUAAGGUUAUCUUUGUGACAAGGAAUAUAUUACGAUUAGUAAUGAAAUGCUGAUUGAUUGCUUGAGCUGUCAUGCCCAACAUUCUAAUGACUUCAAUAAGAUAUAUUUUAACGACUUCAAUAAGAAAAAAGCUAAAGACAGUCGCUUUGUGUAAGCGCGGUGCAAACACCGGCUGAUGUGGCAAAAAAUCAAAACGCCCCGUUUAGUGAUCCCUCCUUCCAUUUCCCUCUCUCUCUCAUUGCCCUCGAGUUCUUAGCUCUCAGAAGUCUGAAGACAAAAUGAAAAGAGAAAAUACAGAACCAAUAUAGUUCUUACCUCUCUAAAGACGAUCAUGGAAGAUUUCGAGAAGAAGGUUUCUACUAUAGAACCAAUGGAGGCCGAAAAUACUGUAGGUUGCUCUGAUUCUUCUAGAAUCCUCCGUCUGCUUCGUAGGUUCCUUGCAAUACAACAACGCAGAGCUGAAGCCUAUGCCAACGCUCAAAAAACUCAAAACUUGGGACCAAGUCAGCUGGAAGCCAGAUCCCAAAAAACAAGGAACCAAAUGCAACCUCCAAUUGACAUAUGUCCUAGAAUAUUGUCUGUUGAUGAAGAUGGAAAGUCUAUGUAGCUGGCUCCGAAAAGAGUAUUCAGUUUGCGAGAAAAGCUCCUUCUCAAGAUCUGUCAAAAUUAGCUAAGUUACCAAGGGAAGAUUUAAGAAUGGAAGCAGAAAAUACAAAUCAAGUUGGCAACUGAAAACCCAAACGAGCAAGAAGACAAAUAUCUAGAGGACCCAAAGCUCUGUUUCAGUGUUUUUGUUUGGAUUUUUUCUUUCUCAUUUCGGUUUCGCACAGGCAUGGUCUUUUGUCUUUCUUUUUUUUUCUUUUUAUAUAUAUAUAUAUAUUAUUUGACGUGGCCUCAGUGACUCCGCAUCGCUUGCGUGAACUGACUGUAUGUAGAAGAAUUGUUUUGUAUAUAUGCAUGUGUCGAGAUGUGCAUGCGUGUGUGUGGGUUUGUUUGGUGGUUGCAUGGAUGUUUGUGUGCUUGUGUUUGGAUGUGUGGGUGUGUGUGGUUGCGGGUGCAUGUGCUUGAGGGUUUAUUUGCGGGUACGUGCGUGCAUUUGUGUGUAGGUGUGUAUGCAUGUGUUUUGGUGUGUGCAAAUGUGUG